rnacentral:rRNA from 1 species
UACGGGGGGAGCAAGCGUUGUUCGGAUUUACUGGGCGUAAAGAGCUCGUAGGCGGUUUGUCGCGUCUGCUGUGAAAUCUGGGGGCUCAACCCCCAGCCUGCAGUGGGUACGGGCAGACUAGAGUGCGGUAGGGGAGAUUGGAAUUCCUGGUGUAGCGGUGGAAUGCGCAGAUAUCAGGAGGAACACCGAUGGCGAAGGCGGCAUCCUGGACUGGUCCUGACACUCAGGAGCGAAAGCGUGGGGAGCGAUCCGG